CAAUAGGACACAAGCAUCCGGGGGAGCCUGGGCACGACGACCAAUGGGUGACUGCGGCUUGGCCCCGGCCAGGCUAUAAAAGGAGGCCCUCGGCGGCGUGUCCUGCGUCUUCCUUCAGCAGCUCUUCGGGGUGUGGUGGCAGCCUUUCCCUUGGGGCUGGCACCCUGGAGGACUUCGCGGGCGGUGCACCCUCACCUCUCCUUUGUGGACUGUUCUUCAGGAAUGUGGAACAGCAAGUUUAUACAGAAGACAGUGUUGUCAAUAGCUGGCAAACCUUGGAGGGACAAGGAGGAAGAUGUUUGGCAACAUUAUGAACACUGGAAGACAAAAUACAGUGAACAGAAAAUUUAUCUGGAGAUAUCAUCAGACCUGGCUUCUUCUGUGUGUGUGUUAGUUUGCAGACACCAAGCUUAACACCUGUGAAGAUUAUAAAUGUAGUAUCUGAUAAGACUCUGUUGUAUGUCUAAGAAACCAUGCAUCUAAAAAGCAACAGAUAAACUAUAAUACCGCUGCUUAAUUCUUCUACUCAGUAUAUUCCUAUUGCAGUGUGUAAUGAAGCUGAGGUUUUUCUCCACAGCUGUGAACAUGCAGCAUGCUCUGUUUCUCUGGCAGUUCAGCGGUGUAGUAUUGACAUGGCAACUUUUGAUUCUGACUCUCCUCCCCAGAACUGUACUGUCUACAGCACAGCUUUCUGACUCCACACAGGUUUAAUCCUGCUUGCUUUUAUAUAGGGGAAUUAACUGGUGGUGGGUUCAGGCUCUCACAGUGUCACACUUCCAUCAUUAUUUGCAGCAAGAACCAGCCUUUUUCCUUUCUUGUAACCAGUCUGUUAGCUUAAAAGUCCUAAGCGUGCAAUAUGGAAGUGAUUGAAACAGUGGUUAAACUAUGAGAAUGCUAAAAAAUUACCUUGAUUCAGCUUUCAGCGGGAUAAUUAGUUAGAGUAAGGAUAAAAGUGACCAACUCCAGUGUGUGAUGCCCACUUGGGAUACAGUUCUGCAUUUCCCAUACCCCACUGUCUCUUCCUUCUCCUGCACGUCUUGUGCACGCUCAGGCCUCCAUGGGCCUGCUUCUUAGCCUUGCAGAAAACUGAUGGGGAAAAAAACGCAUGGUCUUAUUUUUUUCUGCCAGGUUGGUGAGUUGAGCUGGCUCUCUGAGGUGUCUGACAAAUCUAAGGUCUAGAGCAAACGUUUAACCAUAUAUGGCUUAAAAACAGGAAUUGCACAGCCAGGACAGGUAGAAAGAAUAAAAAGGAAAACAGAAUUGGAAAGGGCAAAAAAGCCUUCCCUGUUCAAUGGAGGGAAUACAUUGAUCAUGUCAGCUGACUAGAAGUGCUCUCUCUGUGUUAUUUCUCCUUACAUCCUUUUGUUAGCCUUUUCCAAUUAGUAAGCCCUUUGCAGCAGGGCUUGUGCAUAAUAUUGCAGAUGGACUGAGAUACUGCAAGAACAGCAAUGAUGAUACAGUAAGAGUUAUAUUAAGUCCAGCUCAGCUUCUGGUAACUGUUGGCUUGAUUCUUUUAUUUAAGUGAUAGAGGGUUUUUCCCCAGUGUGUAUCACAGAAGUGAUAGCAUCCCUUGGUUAAAGAAAACGUCUCAAUUGUUCUAGGUAAUUUGCACCUUGCAUAAUGAGCAGAACUAAUAGGCAGAAAGUUUCCUGACUUGUGAAGCGGAAACUGGGUGAAAAACACUAGUAGAAUGCAGCAAUGGUUGUUCCAUGCAUUUCAAGCAUGUGCAGAAGCAACACACAGGCAGGAUGUAGGGACGUAGGUACAGGCCCUUGUGUUUAUAAAGUCAUAAACUUCACUCUGCCCGGUUUAGGCUAGUUAUUUUUUUUUUUUCUUUUAGCUCUUUGACAUACUUUCGAAAAUGAAAUAUUAAUGACCUGCCACAACACUCAGUGCCAUAGUAUAGACUGGUGGGCUGUGUGCAUUUGAGCUUAACCCUUCCAAUAAAUCACAAAAGCAUUUUCUUGCCAGAAGUGCAUGCUACUGCUGCUGCAUGUGGCAGGUGAGGCAUAAUAUAAGAAGCCCCACUAAAUACAGGGAGCAACCUAAGCUGUGCCGUUGGACACAUACCAAAUUAGGUUGACCUAGGUCUCUGUGUAGUUUCCUGUUGGAAAAGACCUGUGGCAUCUCUGCCAGUGCAGGGUUAGCAGGGGCUGCCUUGUGGCAUCUGAGAUAACAUCUAGCUUGGAGGGUAAGGGCUGCUAACAGCUGAAGGCCAUGCAGGGCUUUGGGGAAAUGCAGCCCAGACAAUUCUGCUUCAGCAUGGAGACAACCCCUAGCACUAACUGUAGUUACUUCCCUCAUUAAAUAGCUGCUACUGAAGAAUCAAAUUAAAACAAAAAAAACUCUUUGUGGAGGACAUCAUAAUUACAUAUAAGAGAUUUAUUUUUAGGGAAGAAUUAUUCAAGGAUCAUGAAACAGAAAAUAAGCCAGCUUGAGGAUGGUGGAAGACAUUACACUGGAAACAUCAGUAUUAAUACAGUGAUUGUGGAAAACAAGAAAUUAUAUAAGGUGCUCAGUUUUCAGUCAUAUCAGUAGGGUCAUUAGCAGCAAUUACAAAACAACAGAACUUAGGGUAUUAAAACUGAAGAGAAAAUAUAUUUUGUCUUUUUUUUUUUCCUGAAGUACAAACUAUUUGUAAAGCCCUCAGGGUCUUCCAUACCAUGGAGUUAUGCAUAUAUUAAAAAAGAGAAGCAGGCUUGUGUGCUCUUGUUGCAAUUUAACAAUGACAAGGAGGAAAGUCUGUCUGAAGUAUCUGCAGAUAGGCAGUGGCUGCAAAGUGGUUGCAUGCAUGUUUUCUGCAGUGGUCCUCUCAUUUUAGUGAUCAAAUGUUAGCAUAACCAUUUAUGUGCCAGGAUCCUGUGCAACUGGUAUGCAACUCUUCAUCACCACUGACAAAAAGUAAAACAGCUCUGCUAUAACAGGAUUAGGCAGUAAUUCCCACGACUGUCAAAGCAACUGGAAUCCAUGGGAAUGCAAACUGGGCUGCCCCUGGGAACCUCGUUUUGAGAGACCCACAGGUUGAAUUAUAUCAAUCAGUGUGUCUGAAGUUAUAUAUACUCUUCUUGCCUAUUUUUUGGACUAGAGAGGGUUCAAUAUAUAAACUUUUGGGAAAAAAUAAUAAAAUUUUACUUUAUAUAAAUAGUUAUCUAUAAAAGUUACUUUAUCCAUAGCAAAUUAGGAUCCAGAUUAAUUUUCUCUUACCAUCAAGUGAGAAUACCCUGUAUAAACAUUGUGUCUCUACACACACAGUGGUAGACUCCUGGUAGAGCGUCGUUGACAUUAACAAAGCUACACCAAUUUACAUCACCUGGGAAUAUGGUCCAUAGGACCUAAGUUACACUGGAAGAUAAUGAUUUCUCUCUCAAGCAUUGUUUUGUGAACUCAGCCAUUAAAACAUGGGAAUGAAUUAACAUCUCAAUAUUACAUAUUGAAAUUUAAAAUAUUCUAAAAUAGCACAUUAAGCAUAUAAUUUUAAAAUUAUUAUGAUUGGCAUUUGCUUGUAUGGUGGUUAAGCAAUUCAGAUUCUGUGCAAUACAAGCAAAUCCACAGAUUUCACUGAGUUUGUAUACCUAUGUCAAGCCUACCAUCAGCACCAAGGUAUUUGUGUAUCAUUUGUCCACAUCUAGAUUUCAAGCCACAUGGUGCACUUCUCAUGUUUCUGAAAAGGUAUUUGAAACUUCUACUGAAGCUAACAGGAAUUCAGCCAGUUUAUGGAAGGUAGGACUAGGCUUCAAAUAGAUCCUAGGACUUGGACUGUUGCACUCUUCAUCUCAAAAGCAAGCUGGACACAAAUUCAGACUGAAUGAGGAAGAUUUUGCUGUUCAUGUUCUUAUUCUUUUACUUGGCAUGGAGCGUUUUUUAGAAUAAAGCCCAUUUUCUUGUCUGCAGGCAGAUCCAUUCAUAUGGCCGAUGCUUUCAUUUGUACCUUCUGGUUGAGACCCCUCUUCAGUUGUCUGCAACAGAAAUGAAGUGUCAGUGAAAGCACAUGUGUCUUUCAACAGGCAGCCAUUCCACUUGGAUUCCCAUUAGGUUAGGUAGCUCUGCCUGACUCUCCUCUCUUAGUGGCACAACUUCUUAGCUUUGAAAGAAAUUCUACCAUAGGUGCACAAAUGUCUAAGAGAAGGUGUGCAUCCCAAAUCUAGUAUAAUCUAGAUAGCAAAUAAUCCUGCCUUAAUUACUACAUCCCUAGACAGCUGAGCUAUUGCCUUCCCAUAAUUUGCAGCAUGACUGAAAAACUCACCAAGGAACACGUUUUUAAGGGUGUUAGGAAUAAUACAUGAUUUAUCAAAAGCUGUGGCUGCAACCUAAGUAGUCCUAAUUUGGAUGCAUGCCAUCCAUUCAUACUGAAAGAGCUAUGGUGGAAAUGAAAUUCUCGGAACUAUCCAAAAACUUGGAUACUUUCCAGGCUGAAGGCUUGCUCAGAAAGCCAAAUAUCCACCAGUAGCACACAGCAACACCUAGAACUAGUAAAAUGGUUGAUUGCUGAGAUAAAAUGUUUUUUCUGCCCGAAGUCGCAUUGCUGUUUGCACACAAGGUAGACAAGGUGAGGGGCUUGUCUAUAAGACACUUUUCAUUGGUCUGUAUUACUCACCUCUGUCUAGAUUUGCCCCAGUAACACAGUCCCCUCAGGAUUUCUAGUGGUGUAUUAUGGUCUGAGCUCAGUUUCAAGGCACAGAACCACUCACACCACCAAAAAUGAAGGCAUGCUCUACCAAAGUAAUUUAUAUUUACUUUGCCAAGCAAGUAUCUGAAUAAGAAAAAUUAAAAAAAACCAACCAAACAUACUUUUCUUUUACACUGUACAUUUGUAGAUGCAUUAUUUUCUGUCUUCAUUCCAGUUGCCUCUUCCAUUUCUAAAAAAGUAAUAAAAAAUUAAAAAGAACCAGAUGUAAGUAAGCAGUCAAUUUAACAGCUGGCUGAAAUAAAAAAUACCUAAUCAGCUGUUCCUCUGAGCAUUCAUGACUGAAAAAUGAUUAAUUCCUCCUAAAACAUUUUUCUGAGCAAACAUGAUGAAUGUAUCAGGAUUGUGUAGCCUGGGGGUAUUUAGAGAAAAUAAUGAAAUGAGCAGUAGCAGGGAGGUUCAGAUAGAUCUUUCAGAGCUGAAUUCUGCCUUUGUCCAGCAGGUUUGUGCUAGUCUAAGUCCAGUUGUUAUAAUCUUAGGAGAUGGGAGCAUUCAAUGUAGAAUGGGCUUGGAGAGUCCUUAUGGUAAUAGUACCCGACUUUUUUUAUCCCUGGAUUGGUCCCCAGGCAGAAGAUAAAUAGAGCCUGAAAACCUUUAGGCUAAAUUUCAGUCAGACAAUCAUGUUCCAGUAUGCCAGUUAAAAAAAGAAAAAAAAAAAACAAAAACACAAAGGUAGAGCAUAUUAUGGAAAAAUUCACCAGUAUUUCAGCAGUCUGUUUUAGGCCUGUGCUGAAUAAAUGUGCUCAUUCCUUAACAUCCAGCAUAUGUGACCAAAAAUGAGUAGUAACACAGUCUGUGAGAGAAAAGAUAAAGAGCAGUAUUUUGCCUGCGUUCUGGAUGAAGUACAUAUGGGGCUUUUUACUUAUUUAUGAUAAUUCUCAUUAAGAACAAGUUUGGACAAGUGGUAAGAAAUGUAAUUGAUUACAUUCUCUUGCAUGUAGUGGCCUAGAUGAUGGUAGCUGGUGUUUCUAAUGGGUCAUCUGGAACUGAACGAAAAAGAGUGUCCCUUUGAGUACUAAAGCAUACGUACCUGUGAGAAGUGCAUCAAUUGUCUCCACUGCAUGUUUUGCAUCUUCCAUUGUGAAACACAUUGGUGGUUUAAAUUUUAGUAUAUUUCUAUGGGGUCCAUCUGCACUAAGAAGGAUGUGAUGCUCUUUCAGCCUGUAGAAAGAGGAAACAUCUGUAUUAGACACAGAUAUAAAACUGUAUUUGUUAGUGUCAGACCCUACAGGCUGAAUUAGAAUUUGAAACUUCUUUUUCUAGUACUAUGUUAUUGAGAGCUUCACAAAUUUAAACUGAAAGUAAUGACUAACUGCUGGGAAAUAUCAGGAGAGUCUGAUAACUGCACAUAAGUUUCAAAAAACAUUUACUUGUAAAUAAGGUGAAGGGCUUCAGCUGUGGCUGGUGUUCGCGUUUGUUGGUCUUUCACCAGAUCCACUCCAACAAACAAGCCAACACCCCUGGAGUAGAGAAAAAAAUAGACAAAUGAAAUCCAAUGUCAGUAACCCAAACCUUCUGCUGUAAAUGCAAGAACCAUUUCUAACAACUGCAAUUCCCUUCCCUGGGGUGCAAGCAGGAAAGGAGCAGAAAAAAAGAGGAGCCUUAGCUCUUCAGUCAUCUUUUUGCACUGGUGACUUCAGACAAUCAAGUGAGAUAACAGAUAUUUCUGGAUAAAUAAGUGUAGCUGGCUCAUUAAGGCUAUGUGGCCACUUAAAUAAUGAAUAAAUUGUAAAAUUAUUUAAUUGUAACAUAAAUAAUUUAGUAAAUUUUAUUAUUUAUAAAUUUAAUAAUUUUAAAAUAGAAAAAUAAUUUUAUUUCUUUUUUAUCAUGCAAACCUCAAGCCAAGGAGCUGUGGAAGACAAUUAACUGAAAACAAGAACUAAAAAAACCCCACAGCCCAAAAGCACCCCACAAAACCUAAAGGUGGUCAUAAUGGUAGUAACAUGAGAUGAGGAAAACCCACACUAACAUUGCCAAAUGAAAGGGACCAGAGACUGGAAUAAGGUCACCAUCACCCCAACAGUGUGCUGACAACUGGGCUAUUGCACGGUGAUGGCUCUUCUUCCUACGCUUGCCCAGAGCUUUUCUAGUGGCUAAGCUUAUACCUAACUAUGCAGAUGGAUGGCUAACUUUUUAAAAAAAUAUAUAGCCUUAUGUGGCCUUACAUGAUCAGUUUUGGGUAGCCAAUUUUAAAAAACAGCCUAGCAUAAUCAUGAGAUAAUGUUUCUUUGUUCCCCUCACCCCAAACUUGUUGAUUUUUCUAGAACAGUUAUUUUUCUUCUCUGAAACACUGCUGUAUGGCACCCACCUGAUGUCUCCUACUAAGGGAUGUUUCUCCUUUUGCUGAGCUAGCAACUCCAGGAGAUAAUUUCCUACACGUGUAGCAUUUCCUUGGAGAUCUUCUUUUUCUAUUAUAUCCAGCACAGCCAAACCAAUAGCACAAGACACUGGAUUACCUCCAAACUGAUAGUAAAGACAAAGAGGAAAAAAAAAAACCAAACAUCAGAAACAUUCAUCUGUGUCUAUCCAUGUAGUUUUUCACUUGCCCUCUCUGGCUUGGCAUGUCAUGAGGAAAGCUUGAAGAGGUGUGGCUUUUGUGCCAUGCAGGCUGUGGCGCACCAUCCUCCACACUUAGCACAGUGUAAGAGGCUCAAGGGAGGGGCUCCCCCUUCAUCUGCUUCAGGUUCCAAUAAUUUGAAGAUUUCACAGCUGAAGUGUUCAAGAUGCUCUCACUGGUUGCUGAUUGCAUGCACAGGCAAAAUGAUCCUGUGAAGAGCAGUGACAGAUCUGGUAUGUCUUGAACUGGAGGGUUUAAGCUCCAUUGAAAGUGUGUGUGUGUGUGUGUGUGUGGGGAGGAUUCAUGGUAGCUGGGAAGAUGACUCAGUCACAGUAGUAGAAAGAGGACUCAUUAAACAAGAAUGCAGCUCCUCUGCAGCUCCAAUGCUUCCUGCUAAAGGGUCACUGUUUUGUUUUGCCCCGACAGCACACAGAGCCUAUCCUAGAGAAUGAAGUUGUGCAUGGUGAACAUUUCAAAGGGGAGAGCGAGAAGUAAGAAAGAAUGUAUCUGUAUGGAUGUGAGCUGAAAUGAAUGACUUGUCAGAGAGCUAGUGCUUGUCCAUAUUAAGAUACACCAAUUGGUACAAAGCAUAUUUCAAAGUCUCUCUCCUUGCUUCUAGAUCAGACUGUGGUUGACUCGAGCUUUUAGUAAUGUGAUACAGUGAAGGAUGCAGAUGUUAGCUGAACCACCUGAAGAGAUUCUAAACGCUAAAUGCAGAAGAAAAAAAGGCAAACCUUCACCUAUGAACUUACUGUAUUGAAAUAUUCCAGUCCAGAGGCACCAAAACUUUCAGCAAUUUCUCUUGUUGUGACCACACAAGACAUAGGGUGGCCAUUGCCAAUGGGCUUUCCCAUGGUGACAAUGUCAGGCACAAAGUCUUCACCUUGUAGCUGGAAUGCCCAAAAAUGUUUCCCAACUCUGCCAAAGCCAACCUGGACCUCAUCAGCUAUGAACACUCCACCCGCCGCAUGCACAUACCUGAAAACAAAUAGAAUAGCUUGAAUAACUACUGCUGCAGUACACGUUUUGGGUAGGCAAUCUAGGACAAGGGAGUUUUGGUUACAGAAAGUCUCCAGUAUGAGACCAGAUUAGGGAAGAAGAAAGAAUGUGUGUGCUGAAACACAGCUAUAGCUAUUUUAAUUGAUUUUUUUUUAGUUUGUUAAAUAUUAAGGAAAAAAAAGGUGUUUUGAUGCAAAAUAGGGGUACUGUAAUGGUACCACAGGUUUAUACGUGUGACGGUUCAGCUUCACCUUCUGUCAAAUUUCUGGCCUGAGGAUUAAAGACAGAAAAGGAAAGACAAUUAUCCAGCUAAACACAAUUAGUCAGCUGAUGUUCCAUAAAAGAUGGAAGCAGAAUCAUACUCUUCAAAAAGUAGACCCACAGAUAGCCAAGAACAAGAGAGGGUGACAGCUGAAUUGAUUGGAGAAGCCCAUCAUGAAAAACCUGUUUCUUUGGUUAAUUUUCCAGUUAUGCCCUUUUGAAAUGAGGUACAUACUCUGCCACUUUCUGGAAAAAGCCCACAGGUGGAAUUACUUGGCCUCCACAGCUCUGCAUGGAUUCGGCUAUGAAGGCAGCAAUCUACAAAAAACAAACUCAGAUAGAUAAUAGAAGUUAUUACAGCCUGAAUUUCUGCAUGGAAUUGCAAAAACGCUUACAGGCACUUAAACUCAAUCCAGUCCUGUGAUGUGUCCAACACUAGUGGAUCCAAUUGCUGAAAGAGCCAUCAUCUACCUCACCACCUUUCAAGACCCUCCUGCCUCUUCCCCAAGACACAAUACUAAGUCCUAAUCCAUCAUCUUAUUUCAGAUACUUGCAGAAAGAUCCAUUUCUGCAACUGGAGAAUGGGGUUUUCCAGUCUGUCCCUUCCCUUCCAGCAUCCUAAUAAUGGUAUGCAUCUGUAUGACCUUCAAGUUUCUACAAAGAAUGUUUGGAGAAUUUGAGGAAAUAAGGGAAAGGAUUAAAAGGUGGAUACUUCUUUGGCAGUGUGAACAACGCAAAGAGGUCUAGAUAGGAAAGACCUGCUUGCUGUAUGUCUCUGGGCUGGGAAUGAUUUCUGUAUUUGUAAGCUAUCUAAGUUCAGGCUGAAAUAUCAAAUAGUACCCCACGCAGCUGGACACCCACAAGCUCUGUACCCAGAUCUGCGUGAAUUUGUGGGCUCUGCCUUUCCACUUUUUGGAAGUAAACCCAAAAGUCCUGCUUAUCUUCAGCCAAAUGAACACACAGAUAUUGGCGAUUUAUUCAAACUGUAACUAUACAGUGCAGUGACUCACGAAGCUUGAAACAGUAUGAAGGAAAUCAGCCUCACAGCUGAAUACCCUCUCAGAAAUCCAAAAGCAAACAAUUUUGCUCUAUUUAAUUCAGUGACAAACAGCCAAGUGUAUGUACUCUAGCAUCAGCAAAACAGAAGUAUAUUUACACCAGAAGAUGGUAAUUCAAUAUGCUGUGUAACACACAUAGAAAUGACAAAAAGCAAAAAAACCACACUUACCACAUGCACAUACUCCUUCUUGCUGUCCUUUCCCAGCUGAUUAAAUUUAUAGGGACUGAUGUCAAUCAGAGAUGUAACAUGGCCAUGGUAAGCACUGCAUGAGUGUUAAAUAUCGAAGUCACUUUUAACCGAAUGUAUUGAAGAGCUAAAUUUACAACUGUGCCCAUAAAUAAACCAGAAUAAGCAACUGUAUCUGCAACACAGUA